rnacentral:rRNA from 1 species
AUUGAACGCUGGCGGCAGGCCUAACACAUGCAAGUCGAACGAGUGGCGGACGGGUGAGUAAUGUCUGGGAAACUGCCCGAUGGAGGGGGCUAACUACUGGAAACGGUAGCUAAUACCGCAUACCAUCGGAUGUGCCCAGAUGGGAUUAGCUAGUAGGUGGGGUAACGGCUCACCUAGGCGACGAUGCCUAGCUGGUCUGAGAGGAUGACCAGCCACACUGGAACUGAGACACGGCCCAGACUCCUACGGGAGGCAGCAGUGGGGAAUCUUCCACAAUGGGCGAAAGCCUGAUGCAGCAAUGCCGCGUGAAUGAAGAAGGUCUUCGGGUUGUAAAGCACUGUCAUCGAGGAGGCGUUAUCCGCAGAAGAAGCACCGGCUAACUCCGUGCCAGCAGCCGCGGUAAUUC